UACGUAGGGUGCAAGCGUUAAUCGGAAUUACUGGGCGUAAAGCGUGCGCAGGCGGUUGGUUAAGACAGAUGUGAAAUCCCCGGGCUCAACCUGGGAACUGCAUUUGUGACUGGCCAGCUAGAGUAUGGCAGAGGGGGGUGGAAUUCCACGUGUAGCAGUGAAAUGCGUAGAGAUGUGGAGGAACACCGAUGGCGAAGGCAGCCCCCUGGGCCAAUACUGACGCUGAGGCGCGAAAGCUCGGGGAGCGAACGGG
rnacentral:rRNA from 1 species